CUUCAACAUUCUUCAUGUUAAGAAUCAAGAACAUUAUUUAGUCGACACUCUAAAGAUGAACGCUUUUCUGGGCUUAGUGGCAGUGAUGCUCUUGACAUUUGGAAGGACCUAUGGAGAAUCAGUGACCCAGACGGAAGGUCAAGUGACCAUGUCAGAAGGGGCUUUCCUGACUAUAAACUGCACUUAUUCGGCCGCUGGGUACCCUAACCUGUUCUGGUAUGUUCAAUACCCUGGAGAAGGUCCACAGCUCCUACUGAAAGCCAUGAAGGCCAAUGAUAAGGUCAGCAACAAAGGUUUUGAAGCCACAUACAAGAAAGAAGCCACUUCCUUCCACUUGGAGAAAGCCUCCGUCCAAGAGUCAGACUCGGCUGUGUACUACUGUGCUCUGAAUGACACAGUGGCAGAAACUGCAGGGGGAGCUGAGCGCAAACUCUGA